rnacentral:rRNA from 1 species
CACGUAGGGCGCAAGCGUUAUCCGGAAUCAUUGGGCGUAAAGCGCGUGUAGGCGGUUCCGUAAGUCCGCUCUGAAAGCCCAGGGCUCAACCCUGGGAGGCGGGUGGAUACUACGGAACUGGAGUACGGAAGAGGAGAUUGGAAUUCCUGGUGUAGCGGUGAAAUGCGCAGAUAUCAGGAGGAACACCAACAGCGAAGGCAGAUCUCUGGGACGUUACUGACGCUGAGACGCGAAAGCGUGGGGAGCAAACAGG